rnacentral:rRNA from 1 species
UGGGGAAUAUUGCACAAUGGAGGGAACUCUGCUGCAGCGACGCCGCGUGAGUGAUGAUGGAAUUCGUUUCGUAAAACUCUGAUCUAUGGGAAGAAAAGGACUGUACCAUAGGAGAAAGCUCCGGCUAAAUAUGUGCCAGCAGCCGCGGUAAUACGUAUGGAGCGCGCGUUGCCCGGUAUUAUUGGGCGUACAGGGUGCGCAUGCGACUUUACAAGUUGGAUGUGAAAUAUUGUGGCUCAACCACAAACGAGCAUCCAAGACUGCAAAGCUGGGGUUAAGGAGAGUUAAGUGGAAUGCGUGGUGUGGCGGGGGGAUACGUAGAUAUCAGAAGGAAUACCAGUGUCGAAGGCGACUUCCUUCACUUAAACUGACGCUCAGGCACGAAAACGUGUGGAUCAAACAUA